AUUGAACGCUGGCGGCAGGCCUAACACAUGCAAGUCGAGCGAGCGGCGGACGGGUGAGUAAUGUCUGGGAAACUGCCUGAUGGAGGGGGAUAACUACUGGAAACGGUAGCUAAUACCGCAUACCAUCAGUUGUGCCCAGAUGGGCUUAGCUAGUAGGUGGGGUAAUGGCUCACCUAGGCGACGAUCCCUAGCUGGUCUGAGAGGAUGACCGGCCACACGGGAACGGAAAAAGGGUCCAGAUUCCUACGGAGGGCAGAAGUGGGGAAUAUUGCACAAUGGGCGAAGGCCUGAUGCGGCCAGGCCGCGUAUGUGAAGAAGUCCUUGGGUUUGUAAAGCACUUUCUGCGAGAAGGCGUUACUCGCAGAGGAAGCAACGGCUAACUCCGUGCCAGCAGCCGCGGUAAUUC
rnacentral:rRNA from 1 species